rnacentral:rRNA from 1 species
UACGGAGGGAGCUAGCGUUAUUCGGAAUUACUGGGCGUAAAGCGCACGUAGGCGGCUUUGUAAGUAAGAGGUGAAAGCCCAGAGCUCAACUCUGGAAUUGCCUUUUAGACUGCAUCGCUUGAAUCAUGGAGAGGUCAGUGGAAUUCCGAGUGUAGAGGUGAAAUUCGUAGAUAUUCGGAAGAACACCAGUGGCGAAGGCGGCUGACUGGACAUGUAUUGACGCUGAGGUGCGAAAGCGUGGGAGCAACAGG